GAUGAACGCUAGUGACAGGCUUAACACAUGCAAGUCGAGGGGCAGCACAGGUAGCAAUACCGGGUGGCGACCGGCGCACGGGUGAGUAACGCGUAUGCAACUUACCUAUCAGAGGGGGAUAACCCGGCGAAAGUCGGACUAAUACCGCAUGAAGCAGGGGUCCCGCAUGGGGAUAUUUGCUAAAGAUUCAUCGCUGAUAGAUAGGCAUGCGUUCCAUUAGGCAGUUGGCGGGGUAACGGCCCACCAAACCGACGAUGGAUAGGGGUUCUGAGAGGAAGGUCCCCCACAUUGGUACUGAGACACGGACCAAACUCCUACGGGAGGCAGCAGUGAGGAAUAUUGGUCAAUGGCCGAGAGGCUGAACCAGCCAAGUCGCGUGAGGGAUGAAGGUUCUAUGGAUCGUAAACCUCUUUUAUAAGGGAAUAAAGUGCGGGACGUGUCCCGUUUUGCAUGUACCUUAUGAAUAAGGAUCGGCUAACUCCGUG
rnacentral:rRNA from 1 species